rnacentral:lncRNA from 1 species
GAACGACACAAGAACCCUGUAAUACUAGAGUAUAGCAUGUAAACAUUCCUUCUCAAUAAUAUGGUUGUAUUGGAAAUCUUUUCAUACAGAUUAACAACUCAUGGUCCGAUAUGCAUGUAAUAUUUGCCACAUGACGCCCAUAGUUCUUUCUACCACCAUCAUCUUAUUCUUUGAUAUUGCUGUAAACAACGAUGGUUCAGACCCAAACAAAAUGGGAGUAAUGUACAUUCAGAGCUUCUCCGUGUUAUACACUUGUGAAACUUAAUAUAUAGACGAAAUUUCGGUAUUGAAAUGAAUCUAUACAUCUCACAAACAGGAUUUUUAAAUAACGAUUUUGCGUAAUCACCUACCAAACCA